GAUGAACGCUGACAGAAUGCUUAACACAUGCAAGUCAACUUGAAUUUGGGUUUUUAACUUCGGUUUGGGUGGCGGACGGGUGAGUAACGCGUAAAGAACUUGCCUCACAGCUAGGGACAACAUUUGGAAACGAAUGCUAAUACCUAAUAUUAUGAUAAUAGGGCAUCCUAUAAUUAUGAAAGCUAUAAGCGCUGUGAGAGAGCUUUGCGUCCCAUUAGCUAGUUGGAGAGGUAACGGCUCACCAAGGCGAUGAUGGGUAGCCGGCCUGAGAGGGUGAUCGGCCACAAGGGGACUGAGACACGGCCCUUACGCCUACGGGAGGCAGCAGUGGGGAAUAUUGGACAAUGGACCGAGAGUCUGAUCCAGCAAUUCUGUGUGCACGAUGAAGUUUUUCGGAAUGUAAAGUGCUUUCAGUUGGGAAGAAACAAAUGACGGUACCAACAGAAGAAGAGACGGCUAAAUACGUG
rnacentral:rRNA from 1 species